AAUUGCUGAGAGUUCGUGGCGAUGUUUUGUGAAUUUUUCUCAAGAAUUUGAGCGGUUUUCACGCUGAAUUUCAUGGCACAUUAUUAUGAAGGGUGACACUGUCCUGUGAUGUGAGUUGUCUGGUUCAAGCUGGUAGUAAUGGGUGAAUUUCUCCAAUGCUGUGAGGACCAAAAGAUUGUCUGGUUGUCAUGUUUCCUAAAAUUGGUCUAUUGUCAUAAUCUCAAAGAAUGAAUAGAACAUGAUACGCAUGAUAGAAUGUUGUGGUUGGCCUCCAGAGAUGAACAUGGAGUAAUGGUGUAGUCAAGCAUUGUGUUGUAAAGAUGGCCUACCAAGAAUGAAUCUUGUUCAACAGGUACAUUUCCCUAAAACUACUGCAAUUUAAGACAUGAUUUCUUGUCAGAAUGAUGAUGUAUACCCAUAUAUUCGCAGUUUCCACCAAAGUGAUGCUUUGUCAUUGCAAUGAUGGUUAUCUUCCUUGGAUGUCUGACUGACUAUGACAAUUACUAAAAUUAUAAUAUUUUACCUAUUUUUUGUGCUAAUUAAUUCCACUUGUUUUUACAGAUUU